rnacentral:lncRNA from 1 species
AUGGACGGCCCUGUGGCCGCGGGCCUCCAGCCCAGACUGUCGGGGCUCGUGGCCGGGUGUGUGUCCCCCCUGCCAGACUGCAGGACAGACAGCCAGGGAACCCAAGACCGCCGCCCACAGACAGUGGAGAAGGGAUCCAAGACGGAGGGGGCAGGGGAAGGGCCGGCCCACCACAGCCCACCAACCCCUUCGCCCUCGCGAUGCUUGUCACGCUGUCACCCUGGCGGCCUCCUGGAGGAAGCAGGGCCACCCUGUACCCUGAGACCCCACCAGCGCUGCGGCCUGGACCCUCCUAGACCGGCUGUCGCCACACAGGGGCUCCAGGACGGCUCGCUCACCUGCCGCAGGCCUGUGGCGCCCCCCCUCGUCCGCACCGUCCGUGCUCCCUGUGAGCUGGGCUCCCCCACCCCCCGCAGCCCCGCGCUCAAGCCGCGGUUCUCCCGGCCUCCGCCCCGCCAGCCCCGCUCCACUUCUCGCGAGGCGGCAAAGCGGGCUCCUGAAAACGUGAACUGCCUCGCUCAGUGUGUUUGCGGGACGUACCGCCCAGCACGCUCUGCACGGUCCCGGCGCCGGGCAGACAGCGUUAGGCAAAGGGGAACCCCGGGGAACCCCGAGCCCGCCCCGGCGCCGCGCCCUCGAGGCCAGGCCAUCGACGGCGGGCCUGUCAGGCGGCCACCGGGGCCUCAGGGGCAGCAACGCCGCCCCGGGCUGGAGCCACACGCGACUCCCAGCGACGCGGAGCAGAAGCCGGCAGGAUUUCUCAACAAUCUGAGAAAGGUCAACUGUUGCAGAUCUUCAGGGUACAUCACAGACACCGCUGCCAGCCCAGCUCCCACACUACGGAGCGCUCACUCAGAAACCCCGGCGGCGGCGGCCCCACGUGACAGAGCGGCUCUGGAGCCCACUCGCGCCCACCCAGGGGCCGGUCUCCGCCAACUCUAA